AGUGAACGCUGGCGGUAGGCCUAACACAUGCAAGUCGAACGGCAGCACAGGAGAGCUUGCUCUCUGGGUGGCGAGUGGCGGACGGGUGAGGAAUACAUCGGAAUCUACUCUGUCGUGGGGGAUAACGUAGGGAAACUUACGCUAAUACCGCAUACGACCUACGGGUGAACGCAGGGGACCUUCGGGCCUUGCGCGAUUGAAUGAGCCGAUGUCGGAGUAGCUAGUUGGCGGGGUAAAGGCCCACCAAGGCGACGAUCCGUAGCUGGUCUGAGAGGAUGAUCAGCCACACUGGAACUGAGACACGGUCCAGACUCCUACGGGAGGCAGCAGUGGGGAAUAUUGGACAAUGGGCGCAAGCCUGAUCCAGCCAUACCGCGUGGGUGAAGAAGGCCUUCGGGUUGUAAAGCCCUUUUGUUGGGAAAGAAAUCCAGCUGGCUAAUACCCGGUUGGGAUGACGGUACCCAAAGAAUAAGCACCGGCUAACUUCGUGCCAGCCGCCGCAGUAA
rnacentral:rRNA from 1 species